CGUCAGGCCACUUUGCUGAGUCUUGUGUCACCAUGUGAAUUAAGUAUUUUUCCUGUUUCUUAGAAGACAAUCACUAGAAGUUUCACAGAUUGCUCUGAAUCUGUAAUCAGCUUGCUUGGGGUGAGAUGCACACUUUGCAUAUAUUAACAUCUACUCCAUAACAAUAGGUUGUCACCUCUGUGUGUGUGUGUGUGUGUGUG